AUGUCUUGUGCAUGUAUUGUUUCAAACUUUCUUAAAGCGUUGGGCCCCAUACCUAAACUUGUACCUGAAAAAGUACAUAAGAAGGUCUUUGAUGAUGUAGUUGUGUUGGAGACAAAACCUGAGAAACUACCUGAUAAAAUACCUGUAACAGUGCCUGACAGCGGGCCUCAGGGAAGGCCUGAGUUGACGGAAAAGACCUCUGAGAUGCUGUCAGAGAAUGCACCAGCUCCUGAGAGAACAGUGGAAGAAGUUGGGAUAAUGGUGCCUGAAAAAUUACCUGGGAAGUUUCCAGGAAAAACAAAAGAGGCAGCUCCUCAUUGGAAGCCUCGGGUGGCAGAUGAAGACAGGAUUCCUGAGAAGCCAUCUGACAAGUUUCCUGAAAAGGUGACAAAGAAGCAAACAGAGAGGAUUUCUGCAGAUAAAGACGUUCCUGAAAUGCAGAUGAAGAGUCCUGAUAAAACACCUGAGAACGUGCCUGAACCUAAACCUGAAAAAGAGAGAGAAGAAAUGCAGCCUAAAGAAGAAACAAAGAAGACUGAGAAGAUUCUACCCUCAGAGGUUCGACAACAGCAAACUGUCUCUGCUCCCAAAAAAGGUACUUCCCAUCUGAAAGCAUGGUGGAGUACUUACUGUACUGUUUAACUCCUACUGUAAUGUUAAAUUCUGUUUA
rnacentral:lncRNA from 1 species